CAAUAGCGUAUAUUUAAGUUGUUGCAGUUAAAAAGCUCGUAGUUGGAUUUCUGGUGGGACGCAGCGGUCUCGCAUUGCGUUUGUACUGCUGCAGCCCUCCUUCUUGCCGGGGGCGGCCUCUCGGACUUCACUGUCUGGGGGUCAGAAUCGGCGAUGUUACUUUGAGUAAAUUAGAGUGUUCAAAGCAAGCUUACGCUCUGAAUAUAAUAGCAUGGGAUAACACGACAGGACUCUGGCCUAUCGUGUUGGUCUAUAGGACCAGAGUAAUGAUUAAGAGGGACAGUCGGGGGCAUUCGUAUUCCGUUGUCAGAGGUGAAAUUCUUGGAUUUACGGAAGACGAACAUCUGCGAAAGCAUUUGCCAAGGAUGUUUUCAUUGA
rnacentral:rRNA from 1 species